CCUACGGGAGGCAGCAGUGAGGAAUAUUGGUCAAUGGACGAGAGUCUGAACCAGCCAAGCCGCGUGAAGGAUGACUGCCCUAUGGGUUGUAAACUUCUUUUAUAAAGGAAUAAAACGAGGCACGUGUGCCUUUUUGCAUGUACUUUAUGAAAAAGGAUCGGCUAACUCCGUGCCAGCAGCCGCGGUAAUACGUAGGUGGCAAGCGUUAUCCGGAAUGACUGGGCGUAAAGGGUGCGUAGGUGGUUUAGUAAGUUGGCGGUGAAAUUCCGGGGCUCAACCUCGGCGCUACCGCCAAAACUAGUAGACUCGAGUGCAGGAGAGGUAAGUGGAAUUCCUAGUGUAGCGGUGGAAUGCGUAGAUAUUAGGAGGAACAUCAGUGGCGAAGGCGACUUGCUGGACUGUAACUGACGCUGAGGCACGAAAGCGUGGGGAGCAAACAGGAUUAGAUACCCGAGUAGUC
rnacentral:rRNA from 1 species